rnacentral:rRNA from 1 species
UACAGAGGUGGCAAGCGUUGUUCGGAAUUACUGGGCGUAAAGGGCUCGUAGGCGGCCAACUAAGUCAGACGUGAAAUCCCUCGGCUUAACCGGGGAACUGCGUCUGAUACUGGAUGGCUUGAGUUUGGGAGAGGGAUGCGGAAUUCCAGGUGUAGCGGUGAAAUGCGUAGAUAUCUGGAGGAACACCGGUGGCGUAGGCGGCAUCCUGGACCAACACUGACGCUGAGUGAGCGAAAGCCAGGGGAGCAAACGGG